UACAGAGGGUGCAAGCGUUAAUCGGAAUUACUGGGCGUAAAGGGCGCGUAGGUGGUUAAAUAAGUUGACUGUGAGGGCCCCGGGCUUAACCUGGGAUAGUCAGUCAAUACUGUGAGACUCGAGUACAGUAGAGGGUAGUGGAAUUUCCAGUGUAGCGGUGAAAUGCGUAGAUAUUGGAAGGAACACCAGUGGCGAAGGCGGCUACCUGGACUGAUACUGACACUGAGGCGCGAAAGCGUGGGUAGCGAACAGG
rnacentral:rRNA from 1 species